CGGACCGGCGCACGGGUGAGUAACGCGUAUGUAAUCUACCUGUAACAGAGGGAUAACCCGGAGAAAUCCGGACUAAUACCUCAUAGCACAUAUUAUUCGCAUGAAUUUUAUGUUAAAGAGACUCGGUUACAGAUGAACAUGCGUUCCAUUAGCUAGUUGGCGGGGUUACGGCCCACCAAGGCAACGAUGGAUAGGGGUUCUGAGAGGAAGGUCCCCCACACUGGUACUGAGACACGGCCCAG
rnacentral:rRNA from 1 species